UUACAAGUUUGAGUGCAAGUGACCUU
rnacentral:piRNA from 1 species